ACACUGAUGGUGAAGUGGUUAUCAUGCUUGCCUUCCAUCCCUAAUGUGAGCAAGCGGCAGGGGUUCGAUUCCCCUUCAGUGUA